rnacentral:tRNA from 28 species
GUCCCCAUCGUCUAGAGGCCUAGGACACCGCCCUUUCACGGCGGUAACAGGGGUUCGAAUCCCCUUGGGGAUACCA